rnacentral:lncRNA from 1 species
UUCUUUUCAUCAAAUAUGAGAGAUAAGGAAUGCAGCGAUCUAAGUUGUUGAUUUGUUAAGAAGAAUUAACUUCAAUUUCUUUGAAUUGUCACUUAUUGAAUGUAAUGAAGACUUUGAAGAUGCAUUUUAACUAAUAUUUAUUCCGUCCUGUAGCUGGAGUAAAGUGCACACUUUCCAAGCCAUGUAAAUGACAGUAGCAGCUAUGAAUUUUCAGGUAAUGCUCAUCAAAUAUUUGAUGAAAUGUCUGAAAG